CCUACGGGAGGCAGCAGUGGGGAAUUUUGGGCAAUGGCCGCAAGGCUGACCCAGCGACGCCGCGUGCGGGAGGAAGCCCCUCGGGGUGUAAACCGCUGUCAGGAGGGACGAACGCCAGGCGGUUGAAUAGGCCGCCCGGGUGACGGUACCUCCAGAGGAAGCGCCGGCUAACUCCGUGCCAGCAGCCGCGGUAAGACGGAGGGCGCAAGCGUUGUUCGGAAUUACUGGGCGUAAAGCGCGCGCAGGCGGAUGCCGCAAGUCGGGAGUGAAAGACCGGGGCUCAACCCCGGGCAUGCUUCCGAUACUGCGGGUCUAGGGACCGGUAGAGGCCGGUGGAAUUCCCGGUGUAGCGGUGGAAUGCGUAGAGAUCGGGAAGAACACCCGUGGCGAAGGCGGCCGGCUGGGCCGGAUCCGACGCUGAGGCGCGAAAGCGUGGGGAG
rnacentral:rRNA from 1 species